rnacentral:rRNA from 1 species
UGGGGGAUAUUGCGCAAUGGGGGCAACCCUGACGCAGCAACGCCGCGUGAAGGAAGAAGGUCUUCGGAUUGUAAACUUCUUUAAGUUGGGAAGAUAAUGACGGUACCAACAGAAUAAGCCACGGCUAACUACGUGCCAGCAGCCGCGGUAAUACGUAGGUGGCAAGCGUUGUCCGGAUUUACUGGGUGUAAAGGGCGUGUAGGCGGGCCGGCAAGUCAGAUGUGAAAUACCGAGGCUUAACCUCGGAACUGCAUUUGAAACUGCCGAUCUUGAGUGCCGGAGAGGAAAGCGGAAUUCCUAGUGUAGCGGUGAAAUGCGUAGAUAUUAGGAGGAACACCAGUGGCGAAGGCGGCUUUCUGGACGGUAACUGACGCUGAGGCGCGAAAGUGUGGGGAGCAAACAGG